UACGGAAGGCAGCAGUGGGGAAUAUUGCACAAUGGGCGAAAGCCUGAUGCAGCUAUGCCGCGUGUAUGAAGAAGGCCUUAGGGUUGUAAAGUACUUUCAUCGGGGAGGAAAAAACAAAACUAAUAAUUUUAUUUCUUGACGUUACCCGAAAAAGAAGCACCGGCUAACUCCGUGCUAGCAGCCGCGGUAAUACGGAGGGUGCUAGCGUUAAUCAGAAUUACUGGGCGUAAAGAGCACGUAGGUGGUUUUUUUAAGUCAGAUGUGAAAUCCCUGGGCUUAACCUGGAACUGCAUUUUGAAACUGAAAUACUAGAGUAUCGUAGAGGGAGGUAGAAUUCUAGGUGUAGCGGUGAAAUGCGUAGAUAUCUGGAGGAAUACCUGUGGCGAAAGCGGCCUCCUAAACGAAUACUGACACUGAGGUGCGAAAGCGUGGGGAGCAAACAGGGAUUAGAUACC
rnacentral:rRNA from 1 species